UGAUUGGAGUUACUGUAUAAUUGCAUACACCCAAUAUAACAUACAUUGCAUGUUCCUCACUGCUACAUUAGUGUAUUUCAUUCUGCCAUAUUUGCAAACUUGAUGUACAUUUUUAUUUUAAUUAAUUAACCUAAUACUUUCUUAAAAUACAUAUAAAACAAUGAAAAAAAACAGUUCAGACUAACAUUUCAUUAAAACAAACUAACAUAGAACUCUAUUCUUGGCUGUUCUUAAUUCUGGAAUCAGCCUGUGUACCUCUGUUGGCAGACAUAUCCAUGCUCAUUCCCUAAACUGAUCAUAUCUCUUGAAGUUAUCUGAUUCUUAUAACUUUCUGUGUUACGCUGCAUUGCUUGUCUGUCUCCUAAUUUCGAUUUAGCUAAAAUUGCUUUUAUUUGUCUGAUUAUAAGUUUACAAGUAAAGGCUUUAAUUGAUUUAUCUCCACAUGUAUUUUCUCUGUCAAAAUUUUCAAUCAACAAAUUUAAUUUCUCAUUUGCUUUUGAUUUGAUAUCUCGGAUAAAAUAUCUGCAAGAUCUUAAAUAAUGUUGUUUAUUGCACCAAAAACAAAUAACUUUGGGAGUUAUA